rnacentral:rRNA from 1 species
AUGAAGAGAAAAGCUGGGCCAAACACCAUUAAGAUUAAUGCCUUUUUUAAGCCGGUUGCUUCAAGUUCUCAACCUACUGAAAUUGUUAGUGAGGCGGAUGUGCAAGUUACAAAUCCGAGUCCAGUUAACGCUUCUGAUCAGGAUAUGCCGGACGUGGUAAAUGUUGCAGAACAAGCAGAAGUUAUAACCACACCUUAUCAGAGAGACCCCGGUAAACGCUGUCAAAUUUGGGAUCUCCCACCGGACAAGCAAGAUGACGCUCGGCAUUUUUAUAUAUCUAAGGGAGCAUAUCGACCGGAGUUGGAAGAGUACCCAUUUGAUGAAAAGUCUAAACACCAUCGUCGAUUUCAAAAAGAUUGGUACACAAAUUUCUGGUGGCUUGAGUAUUCAACACACAAUGAUAGCGCAUAUUGUUUGCCGUGCUUUCUGUUCUCAAAAAAACCUGUUGGGAGAUGUGGGUCUGAUACAUUCUCGGUCAAGGGUUUUAGAAACUGGAAAAAGGUUAACAAUGGAAAAGCAUGUGCUUUUUUAACUGAUGUUGGGGGCCCGGACUCUGCUCACAACUAUUCCGUUUGGUGCUAUGAAGAUCUCAAGAGCAGUAUGGCUCAUAUCGACAAGAUGAUGGAAAAGAAAAAUGAGAAAGUAGCUACUAAUGCGAGAUUGAGGCUUAAGACUACCAUCGAUGCCAUGAGGUGGAUGGAACUAGUGCACCAUAAACCAGCGCCGGCUAUGGAGUCUUCUGUGAGCUUUCUGAGGAGGUACUUGGAUGAACUAAUAGGUAUCAAACGAAUUCUGAAAUGGAUCCGAUGA